GGUCUCCCGUGAUGUCCAGCACUGGGCUCCGAUUACUCCCUGAGGACGCAGUGCCCCCAGGACCUUUGACAACCUGGGGAUCUGAGGGGCCU
ensembl:snoRNA SNORD88C small nucleolar RNA, C/D box 88C